CGUGGGGCGGUAUCGCGGUGCCCGCGGCGUAGCGCAGGAGCUGCCUGCUCUCACACACGCACCUCUCCGUCCUUUACGAGCAGACCGGUGCUUCUUGGUUCUCUGAGAAGCUGAUUUGCUUAUUUACCUGAAGUACUUUUUGGUAUAGAACACACUUUGCCAAAGACACAGUGCUUUUUCUUCAUCUGAUGGACUCAGAAAAACAGGACAAGAUAAUCUCCAGGCAUGAGUUCUAAGAGGACUGGCACAUUUAACAGUAGUUACAAUAGCAAACACUUUUUCAAGUACAGAUAUCAAGGUGAAGAUUUUUCUGAGUGACUGAAGGAUAGCAGAGGAGCCUUCAUUUAAGGUGAGUGAAACAUUUGCAGUUGUUGCAAGUACAGUCAGAUGCAAUAGGUACUUGAGAAUGUGUUUUGAAGGAAAGAGUAAUAAAGGAAGUAAAGAAGAUAAGGAAUGAAAUAAAAUUCUGUAUUGCUUAACAAAGUGGAAAUGUGAAAUUAGGCUGUUUUACUUCACCUCUUAUUUUGGGGGGAGGGAAGAAAGGAGGUAGGAUAGAUGGUUUUCUGGACAGAAAAAUAUAGUUCAUCUAAUAUAUGUGGACACAAUCAAAACAUUUUUAUAUGAAAAUGGUUAAUAACAAGG
ensembl:lncRNA